GACGAACGCUGGCGGCGUGCUUAACACAUGCAAGUCGAACGGAAAGGCCCUGCUUUUGUGGGGUGCUCGAGUGGCGAACGGGUGAGUAACACGUGAGUAACCUGCCCUUGACUUUGGGAUAACUUCAGGAAACUGGGGCUAAUACCGGAUAGGAGCUCCUGCUGCAUGGUGGGGGUUGGAAAGUGUCGGCGGUUGGGGAUGGACUCGCGGCUUAUCAGCUUGUUGGUGGGGUAGUGGCUUACCAAGGCUUUGACGGGUAGCCGGCCUGGGAGGGUGACCGGCCACAUUGGGCCUGCGAUACGGCCCAGACUCCUACGGGAGGCAGCAGUGGGGAAUAUUGCACAAUGGGCGGAAGCCUGAUGCAGCAACGCCGCGUGCGGGAUGACGGCCUUCGGGUUGUAAACCGCUUUCGCCUGUGACGAAGCGUGAGUGACGGUAAUGGGUAAAGAAGCACCGGCUAACUACGUG
rnacentral:rRNA from 1 species